rnacentral:misc_RNA from 1 species
CACCACUCAAGCUAUGCUUGGUAUUGGGCGUCUUGUCUCUAGCUUUGCUGGAGACUCGCCUUAAAGUAAUUGGCAGCCGGCCUACUGGUUUCGGAGCGCAGCACAAGUCGCACUCUCUAUCAGCAAAGGUCUAGCAUCCAUUAAGCCUUUUUUCAAC